GAGUGGAUGGGCGCAGCCUGAUCCAGCCAUGCCGCGUGUCUGAGAAGGCCUUCGGGUUGUAAAGGACUUUUGUCAGGGAAGAAAAGGACAGGGUUAAUACCCCUGUCUGAUGACGGUACCUGAAGAAUAAGCACCGGCUAACUACGUGCCAGCAGCCGCGGUAAUACGUAGGGUGCGAGCGUUAAUCGGAAUUACUGGGCGUAAAGCGAGCGCAGACGGUUACUUAAGCAGGAUGUGAAAUCCCCGGGCUCAACCUGGGAACUGCGUUCUGAACUGGGUGACUAGAGUGUGUCAGAGGGAGGUAGAAUUCCACGUGUAGCAGUGAAAUGCGUAGAGAUGUGGAGGAAUACCGAUGGCGAAGGCAGCCUCCUGGGAUAACACUGACGUUCAUGCUCGAAAGCGUGGGUAGCAAACAGGAUUAGAUACCCUGGUAGUCCACGCCCUAAACGAUGUCAAUUAGCUGUUGGGCAACUUGAUUGCUUAGUAGCGUAGCUAACGCGUGAAAUUGACCGCCUGGGGAGUACGGUCGCAAGAUUAAAACUCAAAGGAAUUGACGGG
rnacentral:rRNA from 1 species